rnacentral:rRNA from 1 species
UACGUAGGGAGCAAGCGUUGUCCGGAAUCAUUGGGCGUAAAGCGCGCGUAGGCGGCCCUGUAAGUCCGUUGUGAAAGUCAAAGGCUCAACCUUUGAAAGCCGAUGGAUACUGCAGGGCUGGAGUCCGGAAGAGGCGAGUGGAAUUCCUGGUGUAGCGGUGGAAUGCGUAGAUAUCGAGAGGAACACCAGUGGCGAAGGCGAGUCUCUGGACGACUCCUGACACUGAGGCACGAAAGCUAGGGGAGCAAACAGG